UGGGUUUUUAAAUAACUUCACUGCAAAGAUUUCUUGUACAAGUUCCUUUGCUGGCUGUUUGUGUCUACCACAUCACUAACUAAGCAGAAUUAACUCUAAAUUUCUGGUUAUUUUUAGUAAACUUCUUUCUUCCAUGCUGUGCACUUGCACAAUCCAUAUUCUAACUACCACUUUUUCUGACUGCAAGCAAGUUUGUCUUGCUUCAUGUCUUUAAUAGCAGCAUUAAAGCAUAAUUAAUUUCCUUGUAAUCUGCCUCUUGAUAUCAGAAUCUAAUUAUAUUUUCUUGUGAAAAAUUUGUAAUGACCAUUCAAAUAUAAUUAAGAAAUCAGAUAAUGAGUGUCACCUAAGAUAAAACAUGGUCUUGAAAUUCUCACUUAUGCUGUAGUGACGCUUCAGAAAUAGAUAAAAUGCUCCUGCUUUCAUUAUGCAGUGUUUUUUCUUGUAGAGAGCAGAGUAACGCAAGACUUCACAACUGCAGCCUUUCCUCCUGAUUAUAAUUCAGCAACGUGUUUAUGUCCAUGCAUAAAUAUUCUGGUCGCAUUACUCCAUACUCUAAACAAGCUACACUGGUUACUGCACUUUGGACAGGAAAGAAGAGAACAAGCUUGAUCAACAGGAUUCAGAUGCCAGACAUCUAUAAUAGCAUGACAAGGCUCCAAUUGGUUAGUGCCCCACAGAGAACUGAAUUGAGAAACCAAGGUGGUCUUUUCAUAGCCUAUUUGAAAGAAUUUCUUGGCAAUGGUUCCAGCAAUGGACUCUAAUUCAGCACUGUUGGCUAGAAAACUUGAAGUCUCUAGACAAUCUUAUAACCCUUUCACUUCACAACCUAAUUUAAAACAUUUGCGUGUAUGUGGUGACUGGCAAUAAAAUACAGAAAAAUCUCAGAACAGAGGAAGUAUAGGCUUUGUGGGUUCCUCCCCAGAUCCCUCCCAUCACUGCUAAAUGGAGGAGAGCAAACAAGUCUGGGAUACAAAAAGUAUGAGUAACAAAGUGGGUCAUAUUUCAGCAGUGUCAUACACAGUGAAUCCCUGACACAAUAACUCUCAAACUCCUAGAGAAAUAGACGCUUACCUUAGAUAAGUGUCAUGGCCAAAGUGAAGGUUGCUGUUUAGAAGGGGAUCUGACUGUUUAUGUUAUUACAUUUAUAGCUGGGUACUUACUGUGAACAGCUAUUACAGAAUAUUUGGGGGAUAAAUGGGACUUAUUCUGCCAGAUCCUGAAACUUGCACACUCUUUUUUUGCAACUUAAUUUCUGUUUGGUUGGCAGUUGCAUGCUUAAAAUCAGAGAUGAUACUCUAUCUGCUGCUUAUUGCUUAUAUUGUAUUUGAUUCAAAUACGUGUCAUUUCUAGUUUCACUACAACUUAGAAGUGAAAAUUUUGAGCUGGAGAACAAGUAUUUCAAGAUGAAACCACCUCCUUCUCUGCACCAAGCUGCCUCUUCAUAAUUUCCAAUACUUCAAGAAUCUUUGUUUAGUAAAUAUAUUAAAUAUACUGUUUAAUAAAUCUAUUAUUUUUGGACAAUAUCUUAAGAACUACAUUUGUAAAUUAUGUAAGGUCUUAUACAGCUGAGCAAGUGCUUCAUUUUGACUUUUGACAAGUGUCUAAAAAUAUUAGAAAAUGGCUUUAUUUUCAAGAAUGUUGCAUAAAGUUAAUAUUUAUUGUAAUUUGGUGAUACCUGCAAAGACAGCCAGAGAGAUUUUUACAAUCUAUAAAUAAUAUCCCUCUGCAAACCACAGUACCUAGGGCUAAAACAAUCUAUUACCUAUUCUAAAUGUUUAGGAUAAUUCUGGGAAGGACAGUCAGCCACAGAAAACAGUGCUCUCCCUAUCCACAUUAUGAUUAGUAUGAGUAGGACAAUUAACUUUGCUGGUAUCACACUACAAGCAUUCAAACACUUAUGCUGUUUCUCUUUACCUUACAUAAAAGUCAACCUUUUUAUCUGACCUAUGUGACAGAUAUGUUAGUAACAGUGGUGAUAAAAAUCAGCAUGAAUAACUAUUGGCACAAUAAGGAUUAAUACAGUUACAUUUUGCCUGUACCACUUUAACUAUAAAAGAAUAAAUGCUGAAAGAAUCAUAAUGACCUGAGAG